AGGAGCCCAUGCAGGUCCCCAUCUUGUGGACGCUAAAGUUCCAAGUGGGGAAUAAACCUAUGACAGAGGCUGUAAGGAGCAACAGUUAGUGUAGGGGCAGGUAUAUCCCUAAGUACCUCUAGCGAAUGUGUUGGCUGGCCCUGAUCUCCCAACUGCACAUUGUAAUUGUGCAGAUCAAAUAAAUUGGAAAAAGGAUUAAUCUGCUGAUUGGUCAUUUUAGUCUGGGGAGUUUGAUUUGAAUACAUUGUUAUUAGUCUGUAAACAGAAUUGUGUUUAAAAAUUUAGAGAUUGGAGGAUAUUUAGGUUAAAAAAAGGGAAAGAUGAAGGGAUAUAAUAAUCCACAAUAUGAAGAGUGUAUGAUUAGUGUUUUUAUAACUUGUAGCAGUAAGUUUAUUAGUUUUCUUGUGAAAAUAUUUUGGCUGUAUGAUUGAAAUAAAGAAGGACAAAAUGGCUGCUAUGUGUUUAAUUGUUGAUUAUAAACAUCUGGUUAGAAAGAGUGAUGUGCUAAAAGGAAGGGUGGGAGAGUUAGAAGCAGAGGUGGGAAAACUGCAAGCAGAAGCAAAAAAGUAUAAAGAAGCAGACUUGCAGGGAAAGAAAUCUUGUCCCUCAGCACCUUUGGACCCUACAUGUGUAACAUGGGGAUAUCAGUCUAGUUUCAUGGCUCCGAUGGCCAAACGCACAUGAAAGGCUUAGAAGUGAUCCUGCAGCACUUGGCAGACAGUGGGGAAAGAAAUCUUCGGCAGUCCAGGUGGCAAGAUGGACUCGAUGGGAAACGAGCUUGCUAAUGCCUUCAGUACGUCUGCAACGAGCGUCAUCGCUAAACCCUGCCACCCUCACGCCUAGCCCAGAUGAGGGACACCCGCAUCGGUGUUGCCUUAAGGAAGAGCCCAUGGACCUUCCAUUGGUAAAAGAAACUGAAAUACCUGGUGCCCCUUGCCUAUACGUGGAUGGUUCUUCCUCCUACAUGGAUGGCAAGUGACACACAGGAUGGGCCGUUUGUACGCAAGAUGGGCAGCUGGUGACACCUGGCAGUUUACUUGGGGCAUCAGCACAAGUAACAGAACUGCAGGUGUUAGUUGCGCAUGUGAAGCCGCGGAAGGUCAUGCUAUAAACAUAGCUACUAAUUCUAGAUGUGUGUUUGGGGUUGUAGAUAAUUACAUUAACUCGUGGGUAAAUCGGGGAUUCCUGACAAGUACAGGAUCCCAAUACAAAAUGGGGGGAUAGUGCAGAAACGUCAUGCAGCCGUGCAGAAACCUGCCGACAUAGCAGUGUUAAAAGUGAAGGCCCACAAAAAAGGGAGGGGAACCGAAGGGCAGAUGAACUAGCUAAACAAGCAGCAGUGGAAGGUAAAGAGACCCAAUUGGUUGCUGCAACACAGCCUCUCAUAAAACCCCCAAACUUUUUUGAAUUACAGGACAUUCAGCACACUGCCCCAAGGGCAGAGAAGUGGUUAUGGAUGGAUAAUGGGGGCAAUCUGUGUGAUGAUAACACUUGGAGAGGGCCAGGGAACACAUUAGUGUUACCAAAUGUGCUAAUGGGAACUAUUAUUCAAGUGUAUCACAUGUUGGGACAUGAUGGAGCACGGAGGGUGAUCCACCGUAUGUCAAACACCUGGUGGCAUCCUAAGCUUAAUGCAGACGUGCAUGAUUAUGUGAGAAGGCGUGUAACGUGUGCUCAAUAUAAUUCUGCUCCCACAGUGAAAAUGAAAAUGCAGCAUCAGCCAAGACCAACACAGCCCUUCACGCAGUUACAAAUAGAUGGAAUUGGUCCCCUGCCAAGGUGCAGAGGGAAAGAAUAUGUUCUGGUGAUCAUGGAUCACUUUACUAAGUGGGUAGAAGCUUCCCCAGUGGCCAAGGCCACUGCAUCUGAUGUAGUUAAACUAUUGAUGACUGAAAUAAUUCCCCGACGGGGACUUCCAUGCUUCCUACUAAUCCACAUUCCUUAUCUCCUUUUGAAAUGCUGGCAGGGCGGGCAAUGAGGACGCCAGGAAAUCUGUGCAUUGCAGGGGGGGAAUUGUAUGUCAUGGGUGACCAGCCUGUUGAAUAUUGCAAAUUGUUAUCGCAGUGUGUCUCACAGGACCCCCCGAACUGAACCAGACUCAAAGGCUGCAAAGAGGACAUAUGUGAGGUGCAGCCUGGUGACCAGGUGAUGGUGAAAGCCUAUAGAAAACGAACCUUUGAACCAGCCUGGACUGGGCCUCACACGCUUCUCUUAGUAACUCCUUCAGCAGCCCGGGUCACUGGAAUUCCAGUUCGGGUGCACCUGUCACGUGUAAAAGUAUUCAAGGGUGAGACCCAACAUGGGGCACAACAAUCCCUGUUUACUCUAUGGACUCCUGGAAAGCCGGUCGUAAUAUUGUUAAGUGUUUGCAGCUGAUAUUCCCAGUUUAAAAUUGAUGUAGGAAUUUUUGUAGUCUACUAAUUGUUUUGAGUGGUUUUGAAAGUUUCAUCUUAAUAAUGCUGCAGUGGCUUUCAGUGUUUUACUGAUGUAAUCACCUGGGGAGGAGCCACUGGAUCAGUUGUAAAUGCCAUUACUGAAAUCUAAUCAUAGGGACUGGGUUAAAAUUUGUCUGUAGCAGGAAUGACAGUUCAUUGUGGUGAGAGUGGGGCUCACGUCUCAUCAAGUUAGCUAUUCCCUUAACUCAGCAACAGUUGGUUAGGUCCUCACUGUUGUACUCAGCCAUCUCUUAACAACUACUCAAAUGUAUAAGCAAACAUUGGUCUAGGCAUGUGGAAAAAUUGUGUUAUCUUCCUGGCAUGGUAUCUUCCUGGUGUUCAACAUGAAAGUUGCAGCCCUGAUAGGAGACUCACUCGUGCCACAGGUGCCAUGUUGAGUGAGAGCUGCAGUUCUCAGAGACUGAAUGUCUUCACCUUGGAUGGUGGCAGGGGAGUGGUCCCUAUCGAUAAUAGGGGUAUGUUGAGAUGGUCAUUGCAUCCUUGGAGGGGUGUUAAUUCCUGAACUGGAGGCUCAGCCAGUGCACCCACUCCCAUUCGCAUGUCACAGACACCUGUAUAGAAUAAGGGCCGGAGAUAACUAUAUGGCUUUCCCACGGGACCAAUGUUCCAUCCUGGAGGAUGGGUUUUGUGUAUGGAAAACCUGAAGUCAGGACAAGCCUUAUCUCAAAUGUUGGGACCUGACUUAAUGGUGCAUGUAAUGUAAUUUAAUGUUUGAUACAGCAGUGAGGAAGGACGCCAUUAUCUGGUGUGGCUGUGGGUGGUUAACUGUGGCAGGCAAGCCUUGCUUAAAUAUCUCGUUCUUCCUAUUGUGUUAAGCUUUUUAAAAAUAUUAUGAAAAACGUGGUAGGGCAAUUACAGUGAU